GCCGGGUAUGGUGGCGCAUGCCUGUAAUCCCAGCUACUUGGGAGGCUGAGGCAGGAGAAUCACUUGAACUCGGGAGGUGGAGGUUGCAGUGAGCCAAGACCCCAAGAUUGCACCAUUGCAGUCCAGCCUGGGCAACAGAGUGAGACUCCGUCUCAA
rnacentral:SRP_RNA from 2 species